rnacentral:rRNA from 3 species
GCUGUCGUCAGCUCGUGUUGUGAAAUGUUGGGUUAAGUCCCGCAACGAGCGCAACCCUUAUCCUUUGUUGCCAGCGGUCCGGCCGGGAACUCAAAGGAGACUGCCAGUGAUAAACUGGAGGAAGGUGGGGAUGACGUCAAGUCAUCAUGGCCCUUACGACCAGGGCUACACACGUGCUACAAUGGCGCAUACAAAGAGAAGCGACCUCGCGAGAGCAAGCGGACCUCAUAAAGUGCGUCGUAGUCCGGAUUGGAGUCUGCAACUCGACUCCAUGAAGUCGGAAUCGCUAGUAAUCGUGGAUCAGAAUGCCACGGUGAAUACGUUCCCGGGCCUUGUACACACCGCCCGUCACACCAUGGGAGUGGGUUGCAAAAGAAGUAGGUAGCUUAACCUUCGGGAGGGCGCUUACCACUUUGUGAUUCAUGACUGGGGUGAAGUCGUAACAAGGUAACCGUAGGGGAACCUGCGGUUGGAUCACCUCCUUACCUGAAAGAA